UUGUGACUGAGCGGCGGACGGGUGAGUAACGCGUAUGCAACCUACCUUUAACAGGGGCAUAACACUGAGAAAUUGGUACUAAUUCCCCAUAACAUUCGAGAAGGCAUCUUCUUGGGUUAAAAACUCCGGUGGUUAAAGAUGGGCAUGCGUUGUAUUAGCUAGUUGGUGAGGUAACGGCUCACCAAGGCAACGAUACAUAGGGGGACUGAGAGGUUAACCCCCCACAUUGGUACUGAGACACGGACCAA
rnacentral:rRNA from 1 species